rnacentral:rRNA from 1 species
GACGAACGCUGGCGGCGUGCUUAACACAUGCAAGUCGAACGGAAAGGCCCUGCUUUUGUGGGGUGCUCGAGUGGCGAGCGGGUGAGUAACACGUGAGUAACCUGCCCUUGACUUUGGGAUAACUUCAGGAAACUGGGGCUAAUACCGGAUAGGAGCUCCUGCUGCAUGGUGGGGGUUGGAAAGUUUCGGCGGUUGGGGAUGGACUCGCGGCUUAUCAGCUUGUUGGUGGGGUAGUGGCUUACCAAGGCUUUGACGGGUAGCCGGCCUGAGAGGGUGACCGGACACAUUGGGACUGAGAUACGGCCCAGACUCCUACGGGAGGCAGCAGUGGGGAAUAUGGCACAAUGGGCGGAAGCCUGAUGCAGCAACGCCGCGUGCGGGAUGACGGCCUUCGGGUUGGAAACCGCUUUCGCCUGUGACGAUGCGUGAGUGACGGUAAUGGGUAAAGAAGCACCGGCUAACUACGUG